CGCCCCCUCGUUCCACGCCCCAACCCCUCCACCUCCUCAAUCUUUCUUUCUCUCAGACUAAUCGGCAGUACACAGCGCACAGGUACUCUUCCUCCUCUCCUUCUUCCUUAUCCUCUCUUCCCUCUCUCCUUCUUUCUUAUCCUCUCCUUCUUCCUUAUCCUCUCUUCUUCCUUUUUCCAUGCAGGUGGGCGCCGUCAGCGGUAGGGCGGGGCGGAGCCGAGGUGGCAGGCGGGGCGGCGGAGCCGGCGUGUUGUGGCGCGGGCGAAGUGGAGGUCGCGGGCAGCGGAGCGGACGGCGGCGGCGGUCACGGGCGAUAGGUUAGGGCCGGAGCGGAGGCGGCGCGCGGGCAGGGUGGGGCGGCGGCGGAGCGAAGGGCGUGGGCGGUGGAGCAGAGGGGCAAAGUUGGUGUAGAGGGCGCCGGCGGGCGAAGCAGAGGGCGGCGGCGGGCGGCCGGUCCAGCAGCAGCCGAGCGGCAGCGCGGGCGCGGCCAGACGGAAGGCAUGGCACUUUUUUUUAUUUUUUUCAAAAAUUUUUAGUCCCGGUUGGUAACACCAACCGGGACUAAUGAGACCCUCUAGUCCCGGGUGGAUGACCCGGGACUAAAGGAUCCCUUUUUGUCUCGAACAUUUAAUCUUGGAUGGUUUUUAGGGAGAUUUGACUCAUACCAACCGGGACUGAAGGUCAGUUUUCUACCAGUGGCUACUAUGGUAAUGGCCAAGCUUUUUUGCAUCACAUAAUGCACCUUCAAGUGUUCCUCGUAUCACAUCUUUGCCCUACUACGUCCUGAUGCCCGGUCAAAUCUCACUUUCUUUUUUUU
rnacentral:lncRNA from 1 species